ACCACUAGAUCAAUUGGAACCAAAGGGAUGACGAUGUUGACCUUUUCUGACCCUCCUGACUCCAAUCAACUAAAGCGUGGACUCUGUUGACCUUUGCCCUAAUUCUAUGCUCAAUUCUUCUCAGCUCAGGCUCCUUCAUGAACAUGCAGGAUCUAGAUCUAUUCCAAAUUUGUGGAAUUAAUUAGAUAAUUAAGAGGAACCUCAGAACUACAAGGAAUGAUCAAAGAAGGCAUCUGACACAUCCUACAAAGAAAAGGAGGAUUCCCAAAGAUAUGAAAGAAAAAAAGGCGUGAAGUGGAUGGACUGCUACACUGCCGAGAUCCCCACUUCAGGCCUUAAUUCACCCGCUUGCUGGGAGUGAAAUGGGCUGACAGACCUCAGAUCAGUGUCUCUCCGGAGAUCACCUCAUCUGAAGAGAGCUGCCCUACCGAAGACCAUACGCCCUUCCCUCCAAGGACUGGUUACAACAGGGGAAUGAAAGCCCCAACAUUGGACGACCUAGAAGAGCCAUCUCAGCUUCAGAGCAUCCUGGAGGGUUGAUUGGGGACUUCUUAAAACAGCAUCCUUCCCUUCUUGUUUGUGACCACCGCCAAAAGCUGAUCCCAACAAUACCAUCCCAGCACACACCGCACCCGCACGCCUCCCCCACGUGCGCCUUCCAAUCAAGCUUCUCAAAGAGGUUUCAGCUGAAGCCCAUUCCAGCAGGCGGCGUUCCAGAGAGCAGGAACCGUCUCCACUCUUCCUCCGGAGAUUCUGCAUUUAACAAAGUGGGCUUUGUACACUUGCUGGUGCCAUUUGUGGCAGAGAAGGACUUUCUUGGAUUGCUUCGGAAUGAUAAAAAGCGUGUCUCUCAUCCAAGAACUGAAAUGAUACCUUCAGGUGCUCCAUACUCCAAAGAGUUCCAAUGGAUCAGUAAAUCAGCCAAGGGUAAGUGAG